CCUACGGGAGGCAGCAGUGAGGAAUAUUGGUCAAUGGACGAGAGUCUGAACCAGCCAAGUAGCGUGAAGGAUGACUGCCCUAUGGGUUGUAAACUUCUUUUAUAUGGGAAUAAAAUGUUCCACGUGUGGGAUUUUGUAUGUACCAUAUGAAUAAGGAUCGGCUAACUCCGUGCCAGCAGCCGCGGUAAUACGGAGGAUCCGAGCGUUAUCCGGAUUUAUUGGGUUUAAAGGGAGCGUAGGUGGAUUGUUAAGUCAGUUGUGAAAGUUUGCGGCUCAACCGUAAAAUUGCAGUUGAAACUGGCAGUCUUGAGUACAGUAGAGGUGGGCGGAAUUCGUGGUGUAGCGGUGAAAUGCUUAGAUAUCACGAAGAACACCGAUUGCGAAGGCAGUUCACUGGACUGCAACUGACACUGAGGCUCGAAAGUGUGGGUAUCAAACAGGAUUAGAUACCCUUGUAGUG
rnacentral:rRNA from 1 species